AGUUAUUCACGUAGGGUACAGAGGUAAGAUGUUCUAUCUUUCAGACCUUUUACUUCACGUAAUCGGAUUUGGCUGAAUAUUUUAGCCGCCCCAGUCAGUUUAUGACUGGGGCGUUUUUUA
rfam:Salmonella enterica subsp. enterica serovar Typhimurium str. LT2, complete genome.